CCAAUAUGUCAGUUCAUUUUGAAAUUUUGUUCUUGGUCACAUACAUAGCUUCAUAUUUUUAGCCUAUAAGGGGGACUAGGAUGGACGUUUUCUGGGUAUCGGGAUUGAAACAGUGGUUUUAAUCCUCGUUGUACUGGACAGAAACGAAAAUAAAAAAACACAACAAUUUGUUUACCCAGUGAAACCUCAGUUUAAGGAAAAACACUGCCGGGGCUUUUACUCUUGAACGCCCCUAUUGAAAAGAAAAUACACUAUGAAACAAGAACGAGUCAAUUACAAACUUUGUAGCACUAACCGCGGCUACUAUCUCUAGAACCCUAGCAGAUAUGUUUGAAGCACUCUUCUUCUUCAAAUAAUCUUCUUCUUCAAUCUCCAAAAAACUAACCACGUCCUUGAUCCUUCAAUCACAUAAACAAGUUCAACUAAACAUGGAACAGUUGAACUUAGACUUUACAAAAUAUUGCAGCGGAAAUACUAUAUCUCAAAUGCUAUGCGUGCAAAGAUAGUUCUCUAAAAUGUAUUCUUCUAAUUGCUGCUGCAUCUUCUUUUUUUGAUGAAGAACUUCUACUCUUUAUUUACGUCUUUAAUCAGAUUGGUUUCCAAUAGGUAAGUCCUUCUCCUAUUACCAUACAAAAACAACAAUAAUAUCAGAUAUAAAAUAUAUCUCAAAUCAAAUAAUAAUAAUCAGAUUAUAUAUAACCUAAUCACAUCAGGUUUUCUUUCUUUUCAAUGAAUCAACAUCCUAACCAAAUUAGAAUCCUUGUCUAUCAACGUAAU
rnacentral:lncRNA from 1 species